rnacentral:rRNA from 1 species
AGUGAACGCUGGCGGUAGGCCUAACACAUGCAAGUCGAACGGCAGCACAGUAAGAGCUUGCUCUUACGGGUGGCGAGUGGCGGACGGGUGAGGAAUACAUCGGAAUCUACUUUUUCGUGGGGGAUAACGUAGGGAAACUUACGCUAAUACCGCAUACGACCUACGGGUGAAAGCAGGGGAUCUUCGGACCUUGCGCGAUUGAAUGAGCCGAUGUCGGAUUAGCUAGUUGGCGGGGUAAAGGCCCACCAAGGCGACGAUCCGUAGCUGGUCUGAGAGGAUGAUCAGCCACACUGGAACGGAGACACGGUCCAGACUCCUACGGGAGGCAGCAGUGGGGAAUAUUGGACAAUGGGCGCAAGCCUGAUCCAGCCAUACCGCGUGGGUGAAGAAGGCCUUCGGGUUGUAAAGCCCCUUUGUUGGGAAAGAAAAGCAGCAGGUUAAUACCCCGCUGUUCUGACGGUACCCAAAGAAUAAGCACCGGCUAACUUCGUG